rnacentral:rRNA from 1 species
GACGAACGCUGGCGGCGUGCUUAACACAUGCAAGUCGAGCGGAAAGGCCCUUCGGGGUACUCGAGCGGCGAACGGGUGAGUAAAGCGAGGGCAACCUGCACCUCGCUCUGGGAUAACUCCGGAAAACCGGGGCUAAUACCGGAUACGACCACGGACGACACCCUCUGCGGUGGAAAGUUUUUCGGCGAGGGAUGGACCCGCGGCCUAUCAGCUUGUUGGGUGGGUAACGGCCCACCAAGGCGACGACGGGUAGCCGGCCUGAGAGGGCGACCGGCCACACUGGGACUGAGACACGGCCCAGACUCCUACGGGAGGCAGCAGUUUGGAAUAUUGGACAAUGGACGAAAGUCUGAUCCAGCGACGUCGCGUGGACGAUGAAGGCCUUCGGGUUGUAAAGUCCUUUUGGCAGGGAACAAUUUUUGAGUGUACCUGCAGAAUAAGAGGUUGCUAACUCUGUGCCAGCCGCCGCCGUAA